rnacentral:SRP_RNA from 1 species
GCCAGGCAUGGUGGCAUGUGCCUGUAGUCCCAGCUACUAGGGAGCUGAGGCUGGAGGAUCACUUGAGGCCAGGAUCAAGCAAUCUGGGCUGAGCUGUAGUGAGAUAUGCAGAUCGGGCGUCCGCACUAAGUUCAGCAUCAAUAUAGUGACCUCCCAGGAGCGGGGGACCACCAGGUUGCCUAAGAAGGGGUGAACCAGCCAGGUCGGAAACAGAGCAGGUCAAAACUCCCAUGCUGAUCAGUAGCAGGAUCGCACCUGUGAAUAGCCACUGCACUCUAGCCUGGGCAACAUAGCGAGACCCCAUUUCU